UACAGAGGGUGCGAGCGUUAUCCGGAAUCAUUGGGUUUAAAGGGUCCGUAGGCGGGUCGAUAAGUCAGUGGUGAAAGUCUGCAGCUCAACUGUAGAAUUGCCAUUGAUACUGUUGACCUUGAGUAAUUAUGAAGUGGUUAGAAUAUGUAGUGUAGCGGUGAAAUGCAUAGAUAUUACAUAGAAUACCGAUUGCGAAGGCAGAUCACUAAUAAUUCACUGACGCUGAUGGACGAAAGCGUAGGUAGCGAACAGG
rnacentral:misc_RNA from 1 species